GGGAAUGAGGGGGUUGGAAUUGUGGGGGACCCUUGGCAUUGAGAGGGUCUUGGGAAUGAGGGGGCUUGGAAUUGGGGGGGACCCUUGGCAUUGAGGGGGCCUUGGGAGUGGGGGAGCUUGACAUGGGAAUGAGGAGACCUUUGGAACUUGAGCAGGGGGCUUUGGAAAUGGGGGCAGCAGCUCUGGGACAGCGACUGGAUUUGGGGGAGCUGCUCUGGGCCAGUCUGGGGGGUCUCCCCGUGUGGGUGCCGUGGGAUCAGUGCAUCCAUGUGGGAAAGGGGUUUGGGAACAACGUGCUGGGAGGGAAGGGGGAGCAGCCCCAAGCUGCUCCCAAAUAUUCCUCAUCCCCCUGGAGUUCCCCCCGUCCUGCUCCUCUCCCUUCAGAGCUGGAAUGUCUCCUCCUGGCUGACAUUCCCGAUGGGAUGGAAGCCCUGAGCCCUGACAAGGCCCUGCAGCACGACCCUUGCUCGGCGCCGGUGUCUGCUGCUGCCACCAACGGAAAACCUUGGGAAAACGGGAAAAAUGGGAAUGCAGGGAUGAAGCCCUUCAAGAAGAGGCACCUCACGGCCCCCGAGUGCGAAGCCCUCGCCCGGAGCGCGGAAGGUUCGUCCGCCCUCACGCAGCCCCUGAGCCAGAGACGAGGGAGAGGAGACGGGAAUAGGGGCCUUCAUCCCGCCCACCGGACACGGAGAUGCCGGGGAGGACAAGGCCAGCAGAAGAACAUCCUGGAUUUCUUCGGGAAAUCCCAGAAGCAACAAGUCGGUCCUGGUGGGAUCAAAGAGGAGCCGCGGGAUCCCUUUUUCCCGGGAGCUGACGAUUCCUUCAGCAGCCACACGGACCUCAGCAGCGACUCCUCAGCUCUCCUGGAGGAUGAGGACUUCGUACCAGCUCCCAGGGGAAGCUCCAGGAAGCGGCCCCUCGCCGCCACAGCCUCGGGAAUUCUCAAUCCGGAGCAGGAUUUGUGGGGGGAGCCCGAGGAGAAGCCGCCGGUUCCUCCGGAGCUCGGCCAGGUCAAGCAGGAACCGGAUGACGUGGAAGUGGAGCCAGUCCCUGAUCCACACUACGGACUCCUGGGCACUCGGAGCUGGGAAGAGCCUCAGGGGAAUCUGGAUGAACUGCCUGUGGAAGUGCUCAGGCACAUCUUUGCCUUCCUUCCCGUGGCUGAUCUGUACCAGAACCUGAGCCUGGUGUGUCGCUGCUGGAGGGAGAUAGUCAGGGAUCCACUGUUCAUUCCCUGGAAAAAGCUGUACCACCAGUACCUGAUGAGGGAGGACUCGGCCCUGCGCAGAGUUGAGCAGAUCCUGCGGGAUUUCUCCAUCACAAAGGAGCAGGAAGGAUGUGUCUUGGGGCUGAUCACGUUGGUGUCGGCCACGCCCGUCAGGGGGAAGGUGGAUCCCGGCGCGGUUCUCCGGUGUUUGGGAAGCCACCACCUCUUCUCCAAGGCCCAAGUGUGCGUGGCCAACAAGCUGCCCCAUCUGCAGAGCAAGACAGGGGCUGAGAACAUGUGGGCCAUCGUGGCAGUCAUGGUGCUGUUCUCCGACAGCGUCGGCGACAUCCAGAGGCUGCUGGAAUGUCUGAGGAGACCCAGCUCCAACCUCUCCGUGCUGGAGGUGACCGAGGUGCUUUACUGCAUUGCCACGCUCCUGUUUGCCAUGAGGGACAGGAAUAUUCCCAUCACCAACAGGAUCCAUUACAACGUCUUCUACUGCUUGUACCUGAUGGAAAACUCCUCUGGAACCGUUGGGAACGUGGAAGAGGAAACCUUGGCUUCGCGCUGCAGGCAGGACUUGUGGUCCAGUUGGGACGAGGUCAAACUGACCCACGAGCAGCAGAGGAUUUUGAAUCACAGGAUUGAACCUGGGCAGAUAGUGAAAAUUAUGGCAUUUGCAGGCACGGGGAAAACCUCGACCUUGGCCAAGUACGCGGAGAAAUUCCCGGAGCUGAACUUCCUUUACGUGGCCUUCAACAAAGCCGUGGCGGAGAAGGGGAAAAGGGCCUUUCCCAGGAAUGUCACCUGCAAGACUUUCCACUCCCUGGCGUUCGGGAGCGUCGGGAAGCGCUACAAAGAGCGAGGGAAGCUGAACUUCUCCAAGAUGUCCGUGUUCUCCGUCAGCUGCCUCCUGCGGAACCGCGAGGGCCAGGCCCUGUUCGUGAGGGGGAAAACCGUCUCCCAGACCCUGGAGAGCUUCUUCGCCUCCUCGGACGAGGAGAUCUGUGAGGAGCACGUGCCCGUGUGGUUCAAAAACACCCACGGGGACUGGAGGCUCGUCAGCCCCGCGGAAAAGAGGAUCAACGUGGAAGAGGCCAAGGAAAUAUGGCACAACAUGAAAAAGCUGGAUGGGGACGUGGAGAAGAGAUACAAGAUGACUUGUGAUGGAUACCUGAAGCUGUGGCAGCUCAGCAAGCCCAAGCUGUCGGGAUACGACGCCGUUUUCGUGGACGAAGCCCAGGAUUGCACUCCAGCCAUCGUGGACGUGGUGCUGUCCCAGACGUGCGGGAUCAUCCUGGUGGGAGACCCUCACCAGCAGAUCUACACCUUCCGCGGCGCCGUCAACACCCUGCAGGCCGUGCCCCACACCCACGUCUACUACCUGACCCAGAGUUUCCGAUUUGGUCCCGAAAUUGCUUAUGUUGGAGCAACAAUCCUGGAUGUUUGCAAAGGGAUCCGGAAUAAGACGCUGGUGGGUGGGAACCAAAAGGGCGCCGUCCGGGGCUCCAUGGAAGGGAAGAUCACGGUCCUUUCCCGCAGCAAUUCCAGCGUUUUCGACGACGCCGUCAAACUCACCGGGAGAGACAGACCCAUCCCAAUCCACGUCAUCGGGGGUUUGGCUCGUUUUGGCCUGAGCAGGAUUUAUGAUAUUUGGAAGUUCAGUCAACCUGCAGAAGUCAGGGAAAAAUCAAACCUCGUGAUCAACGAUUCCUUUAUCCAGAAGUGGGAAGGCUCUCGGGGGUUCUUCGGCUUGAAGGAAUACGCGGAGCACGUGGACGACAGAGACCUGGCGGUGAAGAUUUCCAUCGUGGAGAAAUACAGGGAGCGGAUCCCGGAGCUGGUGCAGAGGAUCGAGAGAUCCCACGUGUCCCAGGAAUCCCUGGCGGAUUAUCUCAUAGGCACUGUCCACCAAGCCAAGGGCCUGGAAUUCGACACGGUGCUGGUGGCGGAUGACUUUGUGAAGGCCCCGUGUGGGAGCGACGCUUCCCAGAGGAGAACCAACCUGGCCAUCGGCGCGAUCCCAGAGGACGAGUGGAACCUGCUCUACGUCGCCGUGACCCGGGCAAAGAAGUGUCUCCUGCUCUCCAAAUCCCUGGAACACCUCCUAGCCCUGGCUGGGGAGCGUUUCCUUCGGGUGGAGCUGAUGAGUGAGGCUGCCAAGGCCGGAGCAUCCCACACUUGCUGCAUGUCCAGAUGCACAAACAUGUUGGAUCCCAGCUCCAGGCUGGUUGUGAGGAAGCUCCCGUUGACUCACAGCAACGGCAGUCGCGAUCCCGGGGGAUUCCUGUGCCAGCCUUGCACCCGGCAGCACUUUGGCUCCCUGGCUCCACUCACCUCCUUCCCAGCGCUCCAGGAGCAGCCCUGCCAGCUCUAGGGAAGCCCUCCCAGCUUCCCAAAGCCCGUUGGCACAUCCCAGCUCAGGAAUCGGGUGGAUAUUGGAGCGGGGUUUGGGUGGAUAUUGGAACGGGAUUCCAGCCCGGCUCCGGAGGAACCCCGUAGGCUCUGGGAGACCUUCCCUGCAGCCCUGCCUUGCCUUCCAGGAGCUGGGAAGCAGAAUAUUCCAAAGAAUAUGCACUUUAAGAACUGGAUCAGCAUUAAUUUUGGAGCAUUAUCCCUGUUACCUCCUGGAUAUCCCUCCCUCCUCCCUGACGUCAGCGCUCGGUGAAAUCCCUCUGAUCUGCUGGAAGAAGAGGAAAUGCAACCCUGGAAAGCUCCCAAAGGAACAGGCUAUUUCUGGGAAAUGGACUUUUCCUGGCCAGCAAUGGGAGGAAAUCAUUAAUCCCUCCCAGGGAAUGAAUUCCCCCUCCUUGCAGCCAAGGGCUUUCCCAAACUUGCUUCCCUUUUCCCAGGACCAAACCGUGAGGGAAGAACGGCUUUGGUUUGACCCAGAGACAAACUGGAGAGAGUUUUGAAUCCUAAAACUCCAUUUAUAACCAAAAAAAAAAGCCUUAAAACUUCCUUAGUUUCCUCUUCCUUAACAAGUGCUUUGGCUGCAUUGAAUUCCAGCUCUUAGGAAAAUCCUGGUGGAUCGUGCUCCGUCGUGCCGCAAUUCCAGAGCCUGUGCCACGGAAGAGCGAAACCGAAAGUGGUUCUGGAAGGGAUCUGCCCUUGGAUCCAGGCCCGGAGCAGGAAGAGGCUCAUGCAUCCUGUUAUUCCCAUGGCAGCUGCUGAAAGAGCUUGACUCCAGGAGUACAUUCCCUGCUCCGCUCACCCUGGGGGCAGGAAUUCCUGCUUGGAUUGGGAUGUGGACGUCGGAGCAGGAACCUCUGGUGCUCCCUCCCGGCUGUUUUCUGACCAUCCCAUGGGAGAAAGGCACUUCCAACUUCCAUGGCUGGAGGGUUUGGACUGUCACACAUCCACAGUGCUGAUUCCUUCCCCACAAACAGCAGGACAAGGCACAGCAGCUGGGAAAGAACAUGGAAUUUUGGGCUGUUGAUGGGAAUUCCGGUGCCCGACGAGCCCUCGGUGCUGCAGAGAUGGAUUUCAUGGAUUUCAUCCCGAUCCAAUCCUUCCCUAUCCUGGCUGAGACCCCCCAGUGAGUUCAACAAUCAACUGCUCUGUGUGAUUUUAUAUAAAAUAUAUAUAUUUAUACAUAAAAAAAGGCACCAGAGCUGCCUGUCCUGAAAUAAAGGAAAACAAUGGAUAGAAACCACCGACGGAUGAAGGAAAACCACAGCCAGGGAAAUAUUCCCUAAGUCGCGUCCUGGAAAUAUUUUUCCUUGGAAUAUUUCCUAAGUUUGGUCUUUUGAGAAGUGUCUGUAGUGAAAUUGCUCCGGGUUGGGAUCCCUGGGAGCAGCCAGAGCCAGGGGGGAUCAGGAAUCUGGAGCCUGGAUCGGUGCUGGAAGUGCUUCCAAAGGAUCCCUGAGCUGCGUCCGAGGGCGGAAUGGGGCCGGAAUCUUUGGCUGGAAAAGAGCAGGAAAGGGCAGCAGAAGGAAGCCACAAUUCCGGUGACCAGGAGCGCCGGGAACCCUGUGGAAAAGCCACAGGGAUGGAUGAGCAUCUUCCAGCUCAUGGAUGAGGGCACAGCCUGGUUCCAAACAAAACAGCUCCACAAAGAGCCAUAAAAACCUUGGACGCAGUCCCAAGGUGCCCUCCCCACCCUGGCAGGGAAAAAACUUGGAAUUCUCCUUCCCAGGGAGAAGUUUGGGUGCUGCCUCCUUCCCACCUCGGUGACAUUCCCAGGGAAUAAAAGCUCCCAUGGCCCCGAGGGCUUGGAAGCUUAAAAAAUAUGGAAAAUGAGCCCCUGCUUCCCAAAACAAGCUCGUCUUACCGAUGGAAUAGGCCAAGGUCUGGCUGGAAGCUGGAAAAGAAGGGAGAAAGCUUUUUUUUUUUAGCUGGAAAAGUCGGGAUAGUGGGAAGAGCGUCGCUAAGGAGUUUUGGGGAGAAGG